rnacentral:rRNA from 3 species
GGGAAGUUUAGCCGGGAAGUAAGCGUCU